GGUCGCGUGGUGUAGUGGUUAUCACGCUUGUCUCACAUACUCGGUCGAGAGUGCUCACAAGAGGUCCCCGGUUCGAGCCCGGGCGCGAUCA